AACAGGAUUAGAUACCCUGGUAGUCCACGCCGUAAACGAUGAGUGCUAAGUGUUAGGGGGUUUCCGCCCCUUAGUGCUGCAGCUAACGCAUUAAGCACUCCGCCUGGGGAGUACGGCCGCAAGGCUGAAACUCAAAGGAAUUGACGGGGGCCCGCACAAGCGGUGGAGCAUGUGGUUUAAUUCGAAGCAACGCGAAGAACCUUACCAGGUCUUGACAUCCCGCUGACCGCCUUAGAGAUAAGGCUUUCCCUUCGGGGACAGCGGUGACAGGUGGUGCAUGGUUGUCGUCAGCUCGUGUCGUGAGAUGUUGGGUUAAGUCCCGCAACGAGCGCAACCCUUGAUCUUAGUUGCCAGCAUUCAGUUGGGCACUCUAAGGUGACUGCCGGUGACAAACCGGAGGAAGGUGGGGAUGACGUCAAAUCAUCAUGCCCCUUAUGACCUGGGCUACACACGUGCUACAAUGGACGGUACAAAGGGCAGCCAACCCGCGAGGGGGAGCCAAUCCCAGAAAACCGUUCUCAGUUCGGAUUGCAGGCUGCAACUCGCCUGCAUGAAGCCGGAAUCGCUAGUAAUCGUGGAUCAGCAUGCCACGGUGAAUACGUUCCCGGGCCUUGUACACACCGCCCGUCACACCACGAGAGUUUGUAACACCCGAAGUCGGUGAGGUAACCCUUGUGGAGCCUGCCGCCGAAGGUGGGACAGAUGAUUGGGGUGAAGUCGUAACAAGGUAACC
rnacentral:rRNA from 1 species